rnacentral:rRNA from 1 species
GGAGGAUGCGAGCGUUAUCCGGAUUUAUUGGGUUUAAAGGGUGCGUAGGUGGUGAUUUAAGUCAGCGGUGAAAGUUUGUGGCUCAACCAUAAAAUUGCCGUUGAAACUGGGUUACUUGAGUGUGUUUGAGGUAGGCGGAAUGCGUGGUGUAGCGGUGAAAUGCAUAGAUAUCACGCAGAACUCCGAUUGCGAAGGCAGCUCACUGGAGCGCAACUGACGCCGAAGCACGAAAGCGUGGGGAUCAAACAGGAUUAGAUACCCUGGUAGUCCACGCCGUAAACGAUGACUGCUAGGUGUCGGGUGGCAAAGCCAUUCGGUGCCGCAGCUAACGCAAUAAGCAGUCCACCUGGGGAGU